rnacentral:lncRNA from 10 species
AUUUGACAUGGCAGCUCCACCUUCACCCCCACCUCUGGUCCAUGUUGCCUGUUCUUUGUGAUUCUUUUUGCUCCUUCGCUUUUCACUGGAUCCUGGUGGGAACAAGUCCCGAAGUGGAGAGCAGAGCCAGAAGGAUUGAUUUCCAAAAACUCCUGUUACAUGAGGAAGACACCAAGAAGAGCAAAGAAAAGGAGCCAGGGUGGCUCUUCCUCAGGUGAAGUGGAUAUUUCUCGGUGGAUUAAUCUGUCUCUUUCCUUUCUGAAAUGCCAGCUAUCUCUUCCAAAUGCAUGACAAGGAAGUUCUCAUCAAGAAGGCAAGGCAAUACAGAAGUGUUCCACACAGGGACAUUGCAAAGACAAGCAAGUCAUCACACUGGAGAUUUUUCCUUCCAGGAAAUUGAGAAAGAUUUUCAGGACUUUGAGUUUCAGUGGCAAGAAGAUGAAAGAAAUGGCCAUGAAGCACUCAUGACAGAGAUAAAAAAGUUGACAGGAUUUCCAAAGACUCAUGUUACGUGAGGAAGCCACCAAGAAGAGCAAAGAAAAGGAGCCAGGGA